UACAGAGACUGCAAGCGUUAUUCGGAUUCACUGGGCGUAAGGGGUGCGCAGGCGGCCAAGUGUGUUAGGCGUGAAAGCCCGGGGCUUAACCCCGGAAUUGCACCUAAAACUACAUGGCUAGAGCAUUGGAGAGGGUAGCGGAAUUCACGGUGUAGCAGUGAAAUGCGUAGAUAUCGUGAGGAACACCAGAGGCGAAGGCGGCUACCUGGACAAUUGCUGACGCUCAGGCACGAAAGCGUGGGGAGCAAAAGGG
rnacentral:rRNA from 1 species